UACGUAGGGGGCAAGCGUUGUCCGGAAUCAUUGGGCGUAAAGCGCGUGUAGGCGGCUCGAUAAGUCUGCUGUGAAAGUCCAGGGCUCAACCCUGGGAUGCCGGUGGAUACUGUCGAGCUCGAGUCCGGAAGAGGCGAGUGGAAUUCCUGGUGUAGCGGUGAAAUGCGCAGAUAUCAGGAGGAACACCAAUGGCGAAGGCAGCUCGCUGGAACGGUACUGACGCUGAGGCGCGAAAGCGUGGGGAGCGAACAGG
rnacentral:rRNA from 1 species